UGGGCUGUGCUGUUAGUCACCAGGCAGAUGUCUCCCAGAGGAGAGAGAGAGAGAGAGAGAGAGAGAGAGAGAGAGAGAGAGAGAGAGAGAAUGCACAGAGGACACGUAACUGGGUUCAGACGCAAGCUAUCCCACAAACGGCACACGAACAACGACGCGAGAGAAAGAUGGCCUCUUGGGUACUCAAGUCAGAGCUAAGCUGUUUGUAUUCCACUCCUUACUGGUUCCCCCUGGACUUUCUGACUAAAAUCCCCCAGUCUGCUAAGUUAAACAACCUCACCUCACCAUGAACACCGGCUGGUGUGCCACAAGGCUGCGUACUGAGCCCUCUUCUGUACUCCUUCUUCACCCACGACUGCCUUCCUGUUUAUCGCUUGAACACCACCUGGCAGCAUGGUGUGCCGACAACAACCUGGCGCUUCACCCCCAGAAGACCAAGAAGAUCAUUGUGGACCUGAGGCGGGCUAGGAGCCAUGCGCACACCCCCAUCUACAUCAAUAGAGCUGUGAUAGAGCUGUAGUGUCAAGCUUAAAGUUGGACUCCACAUCCUUGGCACCCACAUCUCCGAUGAUCUCACCUGGUCCCUGAACUCCUCCCUCUUGGUCAAAAAAAGGCCCAACAGUGCCCUUACUUCCUCCGGAGCAUUAAAGCCCCAUCACGGGUGAAUUGGUAUUAUGCUCCCCCUACCGAUGCACUUCUUCACUUCACUUCACUUCUACGCCAUUGUUGUAAAUAGAAAUUGCGCUUUGAGCUACCCUCCUGGACAGCGGUACACAUGCAUUUAUUGACGACCUGAAGGAUACAGAGCAAGCAAGGACUCGGUCACUCUCUGUUUUUCCCUUCCUCGCUUCCUCUGACAACAACUUCCUCUGUUUCUUCGCCCGCUCUGCAAUUAUGUCCAUACUGAGAAAUAUCGACCUAGCUUCUUCUGACCCAUAGUUGUCAGUGUGCCGUAAAUCAUAACACAGUUCUCGCUACUGGUCUUGUGCACAGUCCACCAAAGUUACAUCGUGCAAUACCAGCCAUUGCGGGCGCAGAAUGGCAGAGUGGUUAUUUGAAGGUUAUGUUAAGGUUCCAUUGUUACACGAUGUUGCUUUAAGAAUGUGUCCCAGGAUUUUGGAAGACUUCUAUCGCUGUACCAUUGAGAACAUACUCACAAACUUCAUUUCAACGUACUGUACCAUUGAGAGCAUACUCAAGAACUACAUUUCAACGUACUGUACCAUUGAGAGCAUACUGACAAACUACAUUUCAACGUACUGUACCAUUGAGAGCAUACACUCCAACUGCAUUGCAACAUAAAGUACUGUAUCAUUGAGAGCAUACUCACGAACUGUAUCUCAGUGUGGUAUGGCAACUGCUCCGCAUCAGACCGCAAAGCACUCCACCAGGUGGUGAACUUCACACAACCACUCUAAUACUUACAGUACUUUAACAUUUAUAUAUACAGUACUUAUUCAUAUUCGCACAAUUUUGCACAGUCCACCACCUACACUGUUCAAAUAAUGUUACUCUACAGUAGCAACUGUAGAUCUGUUGUUAAUACUCCACAUACUUAACCAAAAGUACAUGUGAUUUUCAUACUAUACAACCCUACAUUUUCACUCUCUAUUCUCUAACUCUGUCCACUUGUCUGUAUAUGUGUGUAAAAUAUUUAUAUGCAUAAUAUUUGCAUAAUGUAACUCUCCAAUGUUCAUCACUGGACAUAUUGUAAGACAUGGCAUCACUUAUGCUGUAGUACUUACUUUUCCUGCACUAAUCGAUAAAUAAUACUAUAUUUUUGCACUUCUGUUUGAUGUAUGCAUUUCAUUGGCUUUGUACUUGUCCUCUGCACAACUACAGUAACGGUGAAUCUAAUCUAAUCUGAUCUAAUCUCUGUUGAAUGGCUUCACUCUACACAGAGGAAAGGCAGCUCUACUCUAUUUAGCAUUUAAGCACGCAUACUCAAUAUGCCCCUCAGAAGCUAUGAUGUCUAUUUAGCAUUUAAGCAUGCAUACUCAACAUGCCCCUCAGAAGCUAUGAUGUCUGAUUUUCCAUGGUCUGUGUCUUGUUGUUUUAUGUCAUUUUUCAUUUGGAGAGGCUUCAGGGAACACGCAACAGAUGCUUUGUCCUAAAUGAAAUCAGAGGCAUGCGAAAACAUCCCAAACCGUGUAUUUUAUUAAAUGUGUGCGUAUUUGGUUUUGAACAGUUUAUUUAGGCUUACGUUUGUGUUACUUGUACAGGAGAGUUUAUUUGGAGAAAAGCUAAAGGGCUUCAAAGUGUUUCAAUAACAGAAGACAUCACAGACACACAGAGAGAGAGAGAGAGAGAGAGAGAGUGAGAG
ensembl:lncRNA